GACGAACGCUGGCGGCGUGCUUAACACAUGCCAGUCGAACGGUGAUGCUCCAGCUUGCUGGAGUGGAUCAGUGGCGAACGGGUGAGUAACACGUGAGCAACCUGCCCCAGACUCUGGAAUAAGCGCUGGAAACGGCGUCUAAUACUGGAUACGAAACUGGCCCGCAUGGGCAUGGUUUGGAAAGUUUUUCGGUUUGGGAUGGGCUCGCGGCCUAUCAGCUUGUUGGUGAGGUAAUGGCUCACCAAGGCGACGACAGGUAGCCGGCCUGAGAGGGCGACCGGCCACACUGGGACUGAGACACGGCCCAGACUCCUACGGGAGGCAGCAGUGGGGAAUAUUGCACAAUGGGCGAAAGCCUGAUGCAGCGACGCCGCGUGAGGGAUGACGGCCUUCGGGUUGUAAACCUCUUUCAGCAGGGAAGAAGCGAAAGUGACGGUACCUGCAGAAGAAGCACCGGCUAACUACGUG
rnacentral:rRNA from 1 species